UACGGGGGGGGCAAGCGUUGUUCGGAAUUACUGGGCGUAAAGGGCGCGUAGGCGGUUUGCUAAGUUGAAUGUGAAAACUCUGGGCUUAACCCAGAGCCUGCAUUCAAUACUGGCAGGCUGGAGUUCUGGAGGGGAUAGCGGAAUUCCUGGUGUAGCGGUGAAAUGCGUAGAUAUCAGGAGGAACACCGGUGGCGAAUGCGGCUAUCUGGACAGAAACUGACGCUGAGGCGCGAAAGCUAGGGGAGCAAACAGG
rnacentral:rRNA from 1 species